GAUGAACGCUGGCGGCGUGCCUAAUACAUGCAAGUCGAGCGAAGCGGGGACGGGUCAGUAACACGUGCAUAACCUCCUAUAAGACUGGGAUACCUUCGGGAAACCGGAGCUCAUCCGGCUUCUUAUAUAUGGAUCCGCGCUGCAUUAGCUAGUUGGUAAGGUAACGGCUGACCAAGGCAACGAUGCAUAGCCGACCUGAGAGGGUGAUCGGCCACCAUGGAACUGAGACACGGUCCAGACUCCUACGGGAGGCAGCAGUAGGGAAUCUUCCGCAAUGGGCGAAAGCCUGACGUAGCAACGCCGCGUGAGUGAUGAAGGUCUUCGGAUCGUAAAGCUCUGUUAUUAGGGAAGCGGUACCCAAUCAGAAAGCCACGGCUAACUACGUGCCAGCAGCCGCGGUAAUUC
rnacentral:rRNA from 1 species